rnacentral:rRNA from 1 species
CCUGAUCAGCCAUGCCGCGUGUGUGAAGAAGGCCCUCGGGUUGUAAAGCACUUUCAGCGAGGAAGAACGCCUAGCGGUUAAUACCCGCUAGGAAAGACAUCACUCGCAGAAGAAGCACCGGCUAACUCCGUGCCAGCAGCCGCGGUAAUACGGAGGGUGCAAGCGUUAAUCGGAAUUACUGGGCGUAAAGCGCGCGUAGGUGGCUUGAUAAGCCGGUUGUGAAAGCCCCGGGCUCAACCUGGGAACGGCAUCCGGAACUGUCAAGCUAGAGUGCAGGAGAGGAAGGUAGAAUUCCCGGUGUAGCGGUGAAAUGCGUAGAGAUCGGGAGGAAUACCAGUGGCGAAGGCGGCCUUCUGGACUGACACUGACACUGAGGUGCGAAAGCGUGGGUAGCAAACAGGAUUAGAUACCCUGGUAGUCCACGCCGUAAACGAUGUCGACCAGCCGUUGGGUGCCUAGCGCACUUUGUGGCGAAGUUAACGCGAUAAGUCGACCGCCUGGGGAGUACGGCCGCAAGGUUAAAACUCAAAUGA